rnacentral:rRNA from 1 species
UAAUAGGAAAUUUAAGGGCGCACGGUGGAUGCCUAGACUGAAAGAGGCGAUGAAGGACGUGGCGUGGCUGCGAUAUGCUUCGGGGAGGUGCCUAGCAACCUUUGAUCCGAAGAUCUCCGAAUGGGGAAACCCUCGUGCUGAAGAAGCACGAAUCCUUAGAUUUAAUCUAAGGGAGCGCACCCGGGGAAGUGAAACAUCUCAGUACCCGGAGGAAGAGAAAACAAGCAGCUUUGUUUUUCAUAUGUUCCAAUGCUUUGGGAUAUAUGAAAAAUAGAGCUUGUGAUUUCCUAAGUAGCGGCGAGCGAAAAGGAAUCAGCCCAAACCUAACCCGCAAGGGAAGGGUGUUAUAAGAUGAUAAUGUAAUUAAGUUUAGAAGAGUUAAAAAUUCUUUUGUUAGACGAGUUUGCUGGAAAGCAAAACCAUAGAGGGUAAUAGUCCCGUAGUUAAAAACAAAAGAACUCUUUUAUUAUUAUUCUUGAGUACCUCGAGACACGAAUGGCUUGGGGGAAUUCGGCGGAACUAACCGCCAAGGCUAAAUACUCUUUCAGAUCGAUAGUGAACAAGUACCGUGAGGGAAAGGUGAAAAGUAGCCCGAUGAGGGCGGUGAAAUAGACCUGAAACCGUGCGUUUACAAGGAGUCAGAGUACGAGUCGCAAGACCGUACCAUGGCGUGCCUAUUGAAGAAUGAGCCAACGAGUUUAUGUGUACUGCACAAUUAAUCCCGUUAUGCGGGAGGAGUUACAGGGAAACCAAGUGUUAAUAGCGCGAAAAUAAGUAGUACACAUAAGACACGAAGCCAAGUGAGCUUACUAUGACCAGGGUGAACUUCGACGAGAGUCGAAGGGAGGCCCGAACCGGUAUGUCGUGCAAUGCAUUCGGAUGAGUCGUGGUAAGAAGUGAAAAGCUAAUCGAACUUGGUAAUAGCUUGUUCUCUCCGAAAUAGCUUUUGGGCUAGCGUCAAAUGUACCCUCUGGGGGUAGAGCACUGGAUGGUUCGCACAGGGAGCAAUCUCGGCAAACCAAUCAAACUCCGAAUACCAGAGGUCAAUUAUUUGGCAGUUAGACCGUGGGGGCUAAGCUCCACAGGUCAAAAGGGGGACAGCCCAGACCUCAAUCUAAGGUCCCUAAAUCUAUGCUAAGUGCAAAAAUGAGGAGGUGAAAUUUCUCAGACAAUGAGGAUGUUGGCUUAGAAGCAGCCACCAUUUAAAGAAAGCGUAAUAGCUCACUCAUCCAGAGAUUUCGCGCCGUAAAUUAGCGGGGCUAAAGCGUAGUACCGAAGGUGAGGAUGUCAUCGUGCCUCGGCAUGAUGGCGUGGUAGGAGAGUUUUUCUGUCCGCGGUGAAGAAGUAUCCGUGAGGAACUUUGGAGCGACAGGAAGUAAGAAUGUUGGCACAAGUAACCACAAUGCGGGUUAGAUCCCCGCACGUCGAAAAACCAAGGUUUCCUUGGCAACGUUGAUCAGCCAAGGGUUAGUCGGGCCUAAGGAGAUGGCGAAAGCCGCAUCCGAUGGACAUAGGGUUAAUAUUCCCUAACUUCUGUAUAUCUGAAGGAGUGACGGGGUUUAGUAUAUUUCGCACAUUAUUGGAUUUGUGUUUGUUUUGUAAGGAAGAUUCUUAGGAAAAUCCGGGAGUCUGCUUUUGAUAGCGAUUCUAAGCAAAGCAUAAAUUCUGGGAUUCGUCCCGGGAGAUGAAGUAAAGCAAGCCUCCAAGAAAAGCUUCUAAGUUAAGUAUGCAGGAUCCGUACCGCAAACCGACACAGGUGGUUAAGUCGAGAAGACUAAGACGAACGAGUGAGUAUUCCCCAAGGAACUCGGCAAAAAAGCGGCCGUAACUUCGGAAUAAGGCCUUCCCUACGCAAGUAGGGACGCAGCGAAAGUAUCCCUGGCGACUGUUUAUCAAAAACACAGCUCCCUGCGAACUCGCAAGAGGAUGUAUAGGGGGUGACACCUGACCAAUGCCAGAAGGUCAAACGAUGUCCGUACUAUAGCGUAAGUUAUAAUGCUGAACGUUGUAAGCCCUGGUGAAUGUCGGCCGUAACUAUAACGGUCCUAAGGUUCUGUAACUUUCUUUAAUGAAAGUUGCAGACGGACUGGGACUGUUAAAAAACGGCUAAGAGAUGAUAAAAUGAUAAAUAGUUAACAAAUUUAUAUAGUUAUUACACAACCAAAAAGCUACCUACAAUAUAGAAAUAUAUUGUCAGUCCAGAUGCGGCUACCUAGAGACCAGCGCCGCACGUCCUACUUGUUAAAGAGAGGAUGAAGAUAGAGUCCAACUUCGAGGAAUAGUUGAGCGAAAUUCCUUGUCUGGUAAGUUCAGACGCGCACGAAUGGUGUAACGACUGGGGAACUGUCUCGGGGAACAGCUCGGUGAAAAUACAGUACCGGUGAAGAUGCCGGUUACCUGCAGUUAGACGAAAAGACCCCAGGAGCUUUACUACAGCUUAAUAUUGAGUAUACGUUUUAGACGCGUAGCAUAGAUGGGAGGAUUUGAGAGUUUGAUUUCGGUUGGACUUGAUCCGUCAGUGAAAUAACAUUCUUUUGAAGGGUAUACUCUAACCUUCACAGUAAAAAUGUGAGGAAACAGUAUUUGGUGGGUAGUUUUAGUGGGGCGCUAUCCUCCUAAAGAGUAACGGAGGAGCCUAUUAAGGUUGGCUAAACGUGAAUGGAAACCAUGUUGAUAGUGCAUUGGCACAAGCCAGCUUAACUGUAAGACGUACUUGUCGAGCAGAUGCGAAAGCAGAGCAAAGUGAACCGACGGUCCGCGUUAGAGGCGGCCGGAGAUUAUCGGACAAAAGCUACCCUGGGGAUAACAGGCUAGUACCACCCGAGCGUCCAUAGCGACGGUGGUGUUCGGCACCUCGAUGUCGGCUCAUCUUAUCCCGGGGCUGGAGAAGGUCCCAAGGGUAUGGCUGUUCGCCAUUUAAAAAGAUACGCGAGCUGGGUUCAGACCGUAUAGUAGAUAAAUUAUCAAUUUACAAUUAUUAAUUUCCAAUAAAUUUUCAAUGUUUCAAUUUUAAAAAUUGAUUCACUGUAUCAUUUGUUGAAAAUUGUAAAAUUAAAAAUUGAAAAUUUUGUCUUUUGUACCGUCUGAAUCCUCAGAGGAUUAUAUUUAGUACACACAAAUAUUCUGUUUACUUGAAUCACGGCGGCCCCGAUAUUUAAUAAUAUCGCGGGGUGAAGUUGACUAAUUUCGGUAGAACCCCACGCGGGCAAUACCUAGGGAAGUGCGCAAGCACGCCCGUAGAGACUAAACGUCAGCCAGCGAUCGUAAGAUCGUUGAAGCUAUAGUCCAAUGCACGCAGCAAUGCGUGAAGAACAUGCGUGAGACAGGUUGGUCUCCUAUCUACUGUAGGCGUUGAUUAUUGAGAAGAUUUGCUCCUAGUACGAGAGGACCGGAGUGAACUGACCUCUGGUGUGCGAGCUGUCCUGCCAAGGGCAUUGCUCGGUAGCUAAGUCGGGAUUGGAUAACCUCUGAAAGCAUCUAAGAGGGAAGCCAACUUCAAGAUUAGUAAUCGUUUGAGAUCCCCAAGAGAUGAUUGGGUCCACGCAAGUGGUUCCGUUGCCGCAAGGUAACGGGAGAUAGGCUCUAGGUGUAAUGCGAGUAAUCGUUUUAGCCGAGGAGUACUAAUGGAUCGAUUCCUAUUAGG